rnacentral:rRNA from 1 species
UACGUGAGGUGGCAAGCGUUGUCCGGAUUUAUUGGGGUUUAAAGGGUGCGUAGGCGGCCCUGUAAGUCAGUGCUGAAAUAUCCCGGGCUUAACCGGGAGGGUGGCAUUGAUACUGCGGGGCUAGAGUACAGAUGAGGUAGGCGGAAUGACGGUGUAGCGGUGAAAUGCGUAGAUAUCGGAAGGAACACCAGUGGCGAAGGCGGCUCACUGGUCCGGUACUGGACGCUGAGGUGCGAAAGCGUGGG